CAAUAAGCGGAGGAAAAGAAACCAACAGGGAUUGCCCCAGUAACGGCGAGUGAAGCGGCAACAGCUCAAAUUUGAAAUCUGGCCCCCUUCGGGAGCCCGAGUUGUAAUUUGGAGAGGAUGCUUUGGGCGCGGCGCCUUCCGAGUUCCUUGGAACAGGACGCCAGAGAGGGUGAGAGCCCCGUACGGUUGGACGCCUAGCCCGUGUAAAGCUCCUUCGGACGAGUCGAGUAGUUUGGGAAUGCUGCUCAAAAUGGGAGGUAAAUUUCUUCUAAAGCUAAAUACUGGCCAGAGACCGAUAGCGCACAAGUAGAGUGAUCGAAAGAUGAAAAGCACUUUGAAAAGAGGGUUAAACAGCACGUGAAAUUGUUGAAAGGGAAGCGCCUGUGGCCAGACGCGCCGCCCACGGACCACCUGGCGCCUCCGCGCCAGGGCACGCCGCGGGCGGCGGGCCAGCAUCGGCUUCUCCAGGGGGACAAAGGUCGCGGGAAGGUAGCUCCUCCGGGAGUGUUAUAGCCCGCGGCGCCAUGCCUCUGGGGGGGCCGAGG
rnacentral:rRNA from 1 species